rnacentral:misc_RNA from 1 species
GAUGAAGAACGCAGCGAAAUGCGAUAAGUAGUGUGAAUUGCAGAAUUCAGUGAAUCAUCGAAUCUUUGAACGCACAUUGCGCCCUUUGGUAUUCCUUAGGGCAUGCCUGUUCGAGCGUCAUUUAAACCUUCAAGCUAAGCUUGGUGUUGGGUGACUGUCCGCUUCACGGCGGACUCGCCUCAAAAUUAUUGGCGGCCGGUACAUUGGCUUCGAGCGCAGCAGAAACGCGAACUCGGGCCCGUCGUAUUGGCUCCCAGAAGCUAUCUUCACAAUUUUGACCUCGGAUCAGGUAGGGAUACCCGCUGAACUGAAGCAUAUCAAUAAGCGGAGGA